ACUUGCAUGGAACCAUUGGACUGAAGUCCAGGGACCCCUAGUUUGAAUUGGGGAAAGGAUUGAAGAAGCUGAAAGGGCGAGCAACCCCAUAGGAAGACCAGCAGACUCAACUAAUCCGGACCCAUGAUAGAAUGCUGUCCAAUCCUGACAAACAGAACACAGGUUAGCUGACUGCUGUUUUGCCAAGACAAGGACAAGGAAACCAGUGAUGUCCCAGGCAAGGAAGUAGAAGAUACAUUUUUGUACAAGAUAAUCUGGAAAAGGUCAAUGGGCCUUCUGCAAAAUGAGUUGUAGAGAACUGUCUGUCAAAGUCAUGAGUAUGAUGUCACAUCAGACUGCCGUCCAAGCCAGCUCAAGCAUUGUUCUUUAUAAAAAUCUGUGAAAUUCACUUCAUCUGUUUAAGCAUGAGAAUAUAAGAAUAUUUAAGAAUACCAGUUUGCUACUGAAGACAGCACCUACCCAGCCCUUUGAACAUGGAAAAUUCAAGCCAGUGGCUACAUAAAGCCUCACUUGUACUCACUUUCACCUUUUCAUGUAAGAAGACAGUUUUCACAUUGCUGAGGGGGAAAUGUAAAUGCCCACCAGUCACAAAACUUUUGGUCCACAAUGAUCACCUUCCUGAAAAAUAUGCUAGUGAAAUGGUGGCAUACAGCUGGUGGGAGUAACCAACCAAUAUCUAAUUUGGCUAAAGGUUCAAUCCAUGAGAUGGCACCCAUACUCAACACUGUUUGAGAGCCCGACAACCUGAGACAGCCCAGGGUCCUACAAUAAAACAAAAUACUACUAUUCUACUAAAAGAACAUAGAAAUAAUAGAAUUCUGAAUGACAUUAUGCUACCCUCACAGAUUAGACACUUGCUCAGACAUCAUGAGAGAACUUUCCUCUUGAAAUAGAUAAUGGACUGCAUAGUUUUCUGUCAACUUUAUACAACUGAAGACACUUGAGAGAAGGAAACCUCAAAUGAGAAUUUGCCUCUUUAAAAUUGGGCUGUACCAAGCCUGGAGGUCUUUUUUUUAAAUUUGUGAUUGAUAUUGAAGGGCAUAGCCUAUUGUGAGUGGUGCCUUCUCUGGGUUGAUAAUAUUGAAACCUAUAAGAAUGUAGGCUUGGGCAAGCCAUGGCGAUCAAACCAUUAAAAAGAACCUAUCCGUAGUCUUUGCAUCUGCCCUGGCCUCUGAGUUCCUGCCCUUUUUGAGUUUCUAUUCUGACUUCCUUCAGUGAUAGACAAAAUAUAGAAGUAAAAGCCUUUCCUCCCCAACUUGCCUUUGGUCAUUUUGUUUUAUCCAGCAAUGGCAACUCUAAGACAUAUUAGAACAAAUAUAGAGACCCACAGCCAUAUAAAAUGUAGAGGUUGAGAGAUCAUGUCAUACUCAGCUCCAAAUGGGAUGUCUCCUCUCUGUACCCAUGAAAUCCUGAAGUAGCAGAGCAGAAAAUGUCUAAGAGUCAGAGGGCAUGGAAGACUCCCGGGAAAUAAUAACCUCUAAAUCAACAGUAUCGACACCCAUAUGAAAUCACCGAGACUGAAGCUACACGCACAAGGAGUCCAUGAGUUUGUAUGAAAUGAAGUCUUCAUGCUUAAUGGAGUAGUGGACAUAUGCCUUCUCCCUAGCCCAGAAGCUAUCUCCAAAUCAUAAUCACUUAAAAUUGCAAAUAAAGUCUUCAGGAAGCUCACCUGGAAACCAAACACCUCUUGUGCUUUUAGCUGCAUGCCCGAAAGUAGUAGAUGUCCAACAGAAAAUGAAGUCUUGUGUUACACUUAGUGGCA
rnacentral:sRNA from 1 species